rnacentral:lncRNA from 1 species
CCACAACAUCCUCUGGCACCUCCUCAUCCUCUGCCUCGUCCUGCGGCUGAUAAAACAUUCUAUCCUCCUCCAUCUGAUCAUAUCCAACAAAACCCUCCUCAUACACAGCCUCAUCAUGCGCCGGUGUCGGAUCAACCACCUGGGAGGAGUAAUCCAUCUGUGAAUGUGAACCCGACCCAUCUCCUCCACCUAUCCUCAAGUCCCUACGUCUCCGGGUCUUUGGAACAUACAGGUUUUCAACCUCC